UUGCAAAGGUACAUAAUAAUUAGUUUAUUAAUUGUAAAAUAGAAUGAAAAGAUUAAUAAGAAUUUUAUUGUCUCAAUUUUAAUCAACUGAACUUUAUUUCUUUAUCAAAAAGUUAAGAUUUAUUUAAGGGACGAGAAGACCCUAUAAAUCUUAACUUUUUGAUAAAGAAAUAAAGUUCAGUUGGGGCGACUGAUGAAAAGAAAAACUUCAUCAAAUUAAAAUUUUAAUUAAAAUUUUAAUUUGAUCAUUAAUAAAAACCAUUAAAACAAGUUACUUUAGGGAUAACAGCAUAAUUUUUUUUAAGAGUUCUUAUCAACAAAAAAGUUUGUGACCUCGAUGUUGGAUUAAAUUUAAUUCAAGACGCAAAUAUCUUGAUUUUAUAGUCUGUUCGACUUUAAUAAUUUACACGAUUUGAGUUCAGACCGGAAUCAUUAGUUUAUUAAUUGUAAAAUAGAAUGAAAGAAUUAAUAAGAAUUUUAUUGUCUCAAUUUUAAUCAACUGAACUUUAUUUCUUUAUCAAAAAGUUAAGAUUUAUUUAAGGGACGAGAAGACCCUAUAAAUCUUAACUUUUUGAUAAAGAAAUAAAGUUCAGUUGGGGCGACUGAUGAAAAGAAAAACUUC
rnacentral:rRNA from 1 species